CCUCACUCCUACCGGCUUUGCGAGGGAAAACUCACAUACCGUUCGAGGGCUCCUCACUUACAGUCUUCCCAGACCUCACCAGGAGCACCCUAACUUGGCGGAAAUUAUUGCAACCUCUCCUGCAACAACUUUGCGCCAGGGAAAUUCCCUACAGAUGGGGAACACAACGAGCUGUAAUGUUUACACAUAACGGGACUUCCUACAGAGCACAGGGGCUUGUCCCGGCUGAACCUGGCUACCAUUUGGGAAUUUACCCCAAGAGGGAAUCAAAGAGCCUCACCUAACAGAACACCCACUUGAGGGAGCAGAGG